rnacentral:rRNA from 1 species
GAUGAACGCUAGCGAUAGGCCUAACACAUGCAAGUCGAGGGGCAGCAUAGAGUAGCAAUACUUUGAUGGCGACCGGCGCACGGGUGAGUAACACGUAUGCAACCUACCUACAUCAGGGGAAUAACCCGGAGAAAUUCGGACUAAUACCGCAUAAUACAGGGAUGCCGCAUGGCAAUAUUUGUUAAAGAUUUAUCGGAUGUAGAUGGGCAUGCGUUCCAUUAGCUAGUUGGUAAGGUAAUGGCUUACCAAGGCAACGAUGGAUAGGGGAACUGAGAGGUGUGUCCCCCACGCCGGACCUGAGACACGGACCAGACUCCUACGGGAGGCAGCAGUUAGGAAUAUUGGUCAAUGGACGAGAGUCUGAACCAGCCAAAUCGCGUGAAGGAAGACUGCCCUACGGGUUGUAAACUUCUUUUGUACAGGAAUAAAAGACAUUACGUGUAAUGUAUUGCAUGUACUGUACGAAUAAGCAUCGGCUAACUCCGUGCCAGCAGCCGCCGCGG